ensembl:lincRNA 4930403P22Rik RIKEN cDNA 4930403P22 gene
AGACCAUAAACAACUCUCACUCAGUAAACAUGGAAGACCGAAUGAGCCAUCGUCCAUGUGCUGUUAGACUGACAUCACGUAGUUGUGAGGAGACUGGAGGGCAGGUAUCUCUCACAUGCCACUGCUGAGAGUAUAAAAUGCCAUGGCUACCCUAGAAAACAGCUAAGACAGCUUCUUAUAACAGUUACUAACACUUUACCACAAGGCCCAGUCGGCAUACUUCUGGAUGUUCACCUAAAAACUUGCAUACAAUCACCCCCUGCAGCUAAAGGCAUCAAGUUCGCUGGCCCCAGAGGCAGAAACAAGAUGAUGGAGCGAAUGUCCUGUUAUAGAAAGCGCAGGAAUAACAUGCAGUGUGCUCCUGCCAUGGCUCAAGAAGAAGUGUAAAUGGUGUGUCAAAGCUAAGAAGCAGGAUACUGGGACAAAUGAGGCGUCAUGGAGUCUGUGAAGGCACCACAGCUGACCCCAAGGGGACAGCUGCUGCUGCAGCAUGCAGUUCAUCUUGAAGACUUCAAUGAUCAACCAUAAAAUGCAUGCUCUGGUCACAAACUGAAAGAAAAAGAGGGUCUGUCAACAGGCUAAUGCUUAAGCGAGGCAAACCCCAACUAUGGACACGCCUCAGCAAUAGAAGAGAUGAGCUGUAUUACACUGUCACAAGGCUUGGACAGGCAUCAAAGGAAUUACACUGAGGGAGGCAAAAAGAAAAUCUCAAAGGU